rnacentral:lncRNA from 1 species
AUGGCUGCUGAAUCUCCCACUUCUGUUCGUAAAGUGGUUGUUCAUCUCAGAGCCACCGGUGAUGCUCCUAUUCUCAAACAAUCCAAAUUCAAGAUAGCUGGAACUGAUAAAUUUGCCAAAGUGAUAGAGUUUCUUCGCAGACAGCUCCAUAGGGAGACAUUGUUUGUAUAUGUCAACAGUGCUUUUUCACCAAACCCUGAUGAACUGGUCGUAGAUUUGUAUAAUAAUUUUGGUUUUGAUGGAAAACUGGUUGUCAACUACGCAUGUUCUAUGGCAUGGGGCUAA